UACGUAUGGAGCAAGCGUUAUCCGGGUUUACUGGGUGUAAAGGGAGCGUAGGCGGCGCGCCAAGUCUGAUGUCAAAGCCCGGGGCUCAACUCCGGAGAGUCAUUGGAAACUGGCGUGCUGGAGUGUCGGAGGGGUAAGCGGAAUUCCUAGUGUAGCGGUGAAAUGCGUAGAUAUUAGGAGGAACACCGGUGGCGAAGGCGGCUUACUGGACGACCACUGACGCUGAGGCUCGAAAGCGUGGGGAGCAAAC
rnacentral:rRNA from 1 species